rnacentral:rRNA from 1 species
AUGGCCAUUGCUGGAUCCAGGUGGAUGAUGCUCGACCGCUUUGUCUUCCACAGGGGUGAUGAGGAAGAGGGCAGUGCCUUCCUAGACGGAUCCGAGGCGCCUUUCAGGGCAAGUUCACGCACCUCUCUUUGCAAGAAGUUCGACAUCCUCUUCCUCCUUGCCGAGCCCCCGGCCAUCUCCCGCUUCUACAUGCGGUGUCCUGACGCGUCGUGUGAGACUAAGCCAUCCCUGCAGCUCAAACGGCUCCUUGUCUGCAACAAGCCAAUGAUCUUCCCUUUUGGAGAGGGAGAGGAGAAAGCUGUGGGUGAGCAGCGUGUGUUCUUUCCGGACACUGUAGGACUCAUCCGAGGCCAUGGCGAAAGCGUUGAAGCGGAAUUUGCAGUGGCGCAGCUGGCUAUGGUCAGCGAAAUACCUGGCACGCUCAAGAUGGAAGCAGAAGUUCGUGUGUUCCGCUCACUUGUAUCUGAUGGGCCAUGGGAUGAGCAUGUGGCCAUCACAUCUGAAGAGCUAUGGGCUUUAAACAGAUAUAUAGGUCUGCCGUGUGAUAUCCUGAUGUUCCCUCUUGUGAGCAUGCUGAAUUCCAACAUCGCAUACUUUUUGGUCUCAGAGUCUGCCGAAGAAGAAAAUAGCAAGGUUUCUCUGGUCACAAUUCAGUUAAGUACCAAGAAAGUGCUCGUAGUUGAUCCAUAUAUUUCAAGAGAAGAAGGCAGCCCCAGUGGCCCAGAUGCUGACAUGAUCGAGGAAAAGUCUCCUAGGCGGCCCCUGGCCUUUCCCCUCUUGGUGACACGCCGACACGAGGCAGAGCGGAGCCAUGGAGUACACCUCAGGGUGGCGCAGCGCCCGCUCGGCCUAGAUCUGGGCCCAUCUCGGUCUAGGCGGGGGCGCGGUGUGGCAUGUCAAUGGUGUGGUUUCCGGCAAGCGAAGGAGCGGCGUUGGGCGGAGUGGGUGGUGGCGGCCGCUGGCGUCGGCCUGCUGCAACGUGGUAGUUGGGGCUUUGCGGGCCCAAUUUGGGCAUGGCCGGGCCAGGAGUGGCCUAGUAUGCCCCUGUUGCCGCGUCCGAACGACGACCGCGACGGUGUUGGAGGCACAGGCCUCCCGCACAAUGGCAGUGGAGGUGGUUCCCUCCCGCGCGGCUCCAGUGUUGUCGCUCCUAAUUCCUGGCGCUCCUCUCUCCGUCCUCUUUGCCUCAUGGUGGUGAUCCCUGUGAGGCAGUGUGGGUGGCAUCAAGACCGUGGUGGCCCAUGCUGGUGGGCGGCAAGUUACUGGUUGGUUCCGCAUUAG